rnacentral:lncRNA from 1 species
CUUGUGCCCAUGAUGAGGACGCGGCUAUCGAUAGAUUAAAAUACACUCUGCAGAGGUAGCGCACUGUACCUACACCACGGAACCCAUGGCCUCGCACUACCAUUCGGGUGGACCAACAGCGUUCUGACAAAACCGACCUACUGCCAUGACACUCUCCCGGCCACUCCGACCAACACCCCUUAUGGGCUCAGUCCUGGGUGGCCCUGUACCUACCAAAGGUACCAAAGGCCACUGUCAUGGCAAAACGGUCCCAAACGGGGACAUGAGCUCAAAACCUAACCUGGGCACACAAGGCUUAUGUCCGCCUACCUGAUCAGGGUAACGCGUGCCCAUAACCUUCCCUCGCGGGAGGCACCGGCGAGAGGCAUGACAAUAGACCUAGCUAGGAUCUCCCAUAAGGUAAAUGUGGAUGCACUGGAGAAAGCUCGAUUUGGUGGCACUAUGAUAUCCUAGUGAUGACAGAUGAGGUUUGAUAUUAAGUCAUAUUAUUAACUUCACCGUCAUCAAUCAUCAUGCGAGCAUUUUAACAUGAGUGUAACAACUAUCAUGCAACAUACCGAUGCAGUAACAAAAUCAAGCUUUUCAAAUGAAGAAUGAUAGUAUGCGAAACAUGGCAAUAACAAGUACUAGUGAUUUCACUAGUGCAACAGAAUAUCAGAACAUCGAUAUUACUAACAUGAGAAGAAACUAGACAGAGGCAUGAUAUUACCAGUAACAACAGCAAAUUAGCAUGUCAACUUAUUUCAUAAAAGCAUAAGCAUGCAAGACAUAUAACAAAAACAUAUAGCACGGCUAAAACAACAGCAGACGGAACAGACAAGAGACUCCUGCAACUAAACACACACACACGAAGUGCAAGCAAAGUCAACAUGCAAGUUCGGGGCUUAUGAUAAGAGGUUGGCUUGCCUGGGGUCGACAAAUGCUUCGGGAAGAAGUGUGAAACGCUCGCGAAAAGGGUUGCCGGAAAUAGUUCUCUCUCGGAGGGGGCUGUUUAUGGGCAAGGGCAAAGUGAUCAUUUUCACUAUGUGCAAACAUUAUGGAAAUGAUACCAACAGAAAGAGCUCGACAAACCGAGAACAUGAGCGUUGGAAUCACCUCAAUCAGAGUUACGGUUGUCGAGAUACGAAGGGUUGAAGCUCAGGGACCUAUCGGUGAUUUUUUUCCAGCAAACAGGCCCCUGGAGGAAAAACUGAACGCGCCUUUGGGCCGAAUACGUUUUUUGCAAAGAGAAACGUAUUUU